rnacentral:rRNA from 1 species
AGCUCGUGUCGUGAGAUGUUGGGUUAAGGUCCCGCAACAGCGCAACCCUCGCAUUCAGUUGCCAUCGGGUAAUGCCGGGCACUCUGGAAGGACUGCCAUCGACAAGAUGGAGGAAGGUGGGGAUGACGUCAAGUCAUCAUGGCCCUUAUGUCCAGGGCGACACACGUGCUACAAUGGCCGGCACAACGGGAAGCGAGUUCGCGAGGACGAGCGGAUCCCUCAAAGCCGGUCGCAGUUCGGAUUGAAGUCUGCAACUCGACUUCAUGAAGCUGGAAUCGCUAGUAAUCGUGGAUCAGCCAAGCCGCGGUGAAUACGUUCCCGGGCCUU